GAUCAGUUUGAUACCUGGUUGAAAGAAGCUCUCCUUGAUGGAAGAUAUGAAGACAUAAAUCACUAUGAAGAGAAGGCACCGCAUGCCAGAGAGGCCCACCCAUGGCCAGAACACUUCUAUCCAUUGCAUGUAGCCAUGGGUGCUGCUGGCGAAAAUGCAAAAGCCAAACUCAUCCAUCAUAGCUGGAGCCUCGGUACUCUCUCUUAUGCCUCUUACCAGUUCACAACAACAGCCACCUGAAAUUUCCAUCAUCAAAUCUUGCUGUUCUUCGGUCCUUCCUUUGUGAAUAAGUACCGAGACUGUUACUUACAUAUUAAUUCAUCCCUGCUUGUAUGAUUAAUAUAUAGUAACCAUUAUAAGAUUGAAACAUGUUAUUGGAAUUGUCAUUGUUAUAAGUUGGUAUUUACGUUUGAUGUUCA